UACGAAGGGGGGUAGGGUUGCUCGGAAUCACUGGGGGUAAAGCGCACGUAGGCGGAUUGCUAAGUCAGGGGUGAAAUCCUGGAGCUCAACUCCAGAACUGCCUUUGAUACUGGCGACCUUGAGUCCGGGAGAGGUGAGUGGAACUGCGAGUGUAGAGGUGAAAUUCGUAGAUAUUCGCAAGAACACCAGUGGCGAAGGCGGCAUCCUGGACCGGUAUUGACGCUGAGGCGCGAAAGCUAGGGGAUCAAACGGG
rnacentral:rRNA from 1 species